GACGAACGCUGGCGGCGUGCUUAACACAUGCAAGUCGAACGGACAGACAGAGAGCUUGCUCUCUUGAAGUUAGUGGCGAACGGGUGAGUAACGCGUAAUCAACCUGCCCUUCAGAGGGGGAUAACAACGGGAAACCGUUGCUAAUACCGCGUACGAUUCAUGAACGGCAUCGUUUAUGAAUGAAAGGUGGCCUCUAUGUAUAAGCUAUCGCUGAAGGAGGGGAUUGCGUCUGAUUAGCUAGUUGGAGGGGUAACGGCCCACCAAGGCAAUGAUCAGGAGCCGGUCUGAGAGGAUGAACAGCCACAUUGGGACUGAGACACGGCCCAAACUCCUACGUGAGGCAGCAGUGGGGAAUCUUCCGCAAUGGACGAAAGUCUGACGGAGCAACGCCGCGUGAGUGAUGAAGGUCUUCGGAUUGUAAAGCUCUGUUAAUCGGGACGAAAGAGUUCUGCGUGAAUAAUGCAGAAAAGUGACGGUACCGGAAUAGAAAGCCACGGCUAGCUACGUGCCAGCCGCCGCGGUAA
rnacentral:rRNA from 1 species